CGUGGCCGAGUGGUGAAGACGCCAAGCUAAUAACCUGGUGGUCGCAGGUUCGAGCCC
rnacentral:tRNA from 1 species